rnacentral:lncRNA from 1 species
GCCCACCUAGCAAUCUCAGACAUUGUUCAUCACAUUGUCCCUAUCAGAGAUGGCAUCGCACAAAAUUCAGAGUUUCUGGGAACAUGUUAAACCUGUCACAGCAAUGGUUCUGGCUACAGCAGGAGUAAAGAAAUGUCUAAGCAAAGAAAAAUGUUUUGAAAGCCUCAAAAAAAGUUUGUUUGCUGUCAUUAAACCAGUGGUUCUCAAGCCUGGCUGGAUGGCUGAAGAGCAGGAAGAAGAGGAGAGGUUGGUCUUGCCAUCUUAGGGGUGGCAGAAGCAGAAGAUAAUCCAUGCAUAAAUGGACCUGCACAGUCCAAAGCUGUGUUCUUCAAGGGUCAACUGUAUAUUUAUUUAAAUUUACAUAAAGAGAUCAUAUUCUACAUAA